CUUUCACUUCGAAAAUUAAGCAUCUUCGUCUUUUUGUUGUGAAUGCUCAUUCAUGGGGUUGCUAUUUAGAUUCGGUGAAAAUUUUCUGAAGAAGAAACAGAACGUCUCAAGACAUAAGAGGAGAUGCGUCUACUUAAAAUCUAAAAGGAAGUAAAACUCUCAAUAAAUAGAAGUUGAUGAAGAAUUUUUCUGACGAAUCUCCCCCACUUCGCUGCUAAAUCGAUUCAGUUUCACACCAUCACCAUCAACAGAGAUUGGAGAUAAAAACAUGGAUACAAGGAAUGAGGAUAAAAAGAAGAAGAAUUUUGAUUGAUGAAGGCAUGAAGCUCUUUAUGGUCAAUUCCACCUAACUGUUUUACAAUGAUUUUCUAUGUUUCUUUGAUUCCUCUUCUUCCACCUUGUUUAAUGUUUCUCUCUAUAUUUGUUAUUUCUUCUU